rnacentral:rRNA from 1 species
UACGGGGGAGCAAGCGUUGUUCGGAUUUACUGGGCGUAAAGGGCGCGUAGGCGGUCAGCACAAGUCAAUUGUGAAAUCUCCGAGCUUAACUCGGAAAGGUCAACUGAAACUGUGCGACUAGAGUGCGGAAGGGGCAACUGGAAUUCUUGGUGUAGCGGUGAAAUGACGUAGAUAUCAUCCAGAACACCGAUUGCGAAGGCAGGUGGCUACGUUUGAUUUGACACUGAGGCACGAAAGCAUGGGGAGCAAACAGG